rnacentral:ncRNA from 1 species
AAUGAUAGAGGCGCGGCGCUCAUCAGUACCCUCCACACACCGGCAGGACACCGGGCGGGGAAAGGGAUCGCCGCCGAAGGGUUUCCCGGCUGCCUGGCCGGGGAAUGACCUGGGCCGGCAGAGAAGAUCUGCCGGACUGCCAUUGUGUUACGAUGGAGCGCUAUCA